UCCAAGGCUAAAUACUCUCUAAUGACCGAUAGUGAACAAGUACCGUGAGGGAAAGGCGAAAAGAACCCCGGGAGGGGAGUGAAAUAGAACCUGAAAUCGUAUGCAUACAAGCAGUAGGAGCGGAUUUAUUCCGUGACUGCGUACCUUUUGUAUAAUGGGUCAGCGACUUACUUUUCAGUAGCAAGGUUAACCAAUAGGGGAGCCGUAGGGAAACCGAGUCUUAAAUGGGCGUUUAGUUGCUGGGAGUAGACCCGAAACCGGGUGAUCUAUCCAUGGCCAGGGUGAAGGUUAGGUAAAACUAACUGGAGGCCCGAACCCACUUAUGUUGAAAAAUGAGGGGAUGAGCUGUGGAUAGGGGUGAAAGGCCAAACAAACCCGGAGAUAGCUGGUUCUCUCCGAAAUCUAUUUAGGUAGAGCCUCAUGUAUUACUGUCGGGGGUAGAGCACUGUUAUGGCUAGCGGGUCGUCAAGAUUUAGUAAACCAUUGCAAACUCCGAAUACCGACAAGUAUGAGCAUGGGAGACACACUGCGGGUGCUAACGUCCGUAGUGGAAAGGGAAACAACCCAGACCGUCAGCUAAGGUCCCAAAAUUGUAGUUAAGUGGGAAACGAUGUGGAAAGGCCCAGACAGCCAGGAGGUUGGCUUAGAAGCAGCCAUUCCUUUAAAGAGUGCGUAAUAGCUCACUGGUCGAGUCGGUUUGCGCGGAAGAUUUAACGGGGCUAAAACUACAUACCGAAGCUACGGAUUGCAAUUUAUUGCGAUGGUAGGAGAGCGUUCUGUAAGCUGUUGAAGGUGAACUGUGAGGUUUGCUGGAGGUAUCAGAAGUGCGAAUGCUGACAUGAGUAACGAUAAAGGGGGUGAAAAACCCCCUCGCCAGAAGUCCAAGGUUUCCUACGCAACGUUAAUCGGCGUAGGGUUAGUCGGCCCUAAGGCGAGGCAGAAAUGCGUAGUCGAUGGGAAAUGGGUUAAUAUUCCCAUACUUCAUAUAACUGCGAUGGGAAGACGGAGAAGGUUAACGCAGCUUGGCGAUGGUUGUCCAAGUUCAAGUGUGUAGAGUAGAUUCUUAGGAAAAUCCGGAAUCUUAGAUUUCAAGGCAUGAUAACGAACCCUCUUUUGGGAAAAGUGCGUGAUACCAUGCUUCCAGGAAAAUCCUCUAAGCUUCAGGUUAUAUGAAACCGUACCCCAAACCGACACAGGUGGACGAGAUGAGAAUUCUAAGGCGCUUGAGAGAACUCGGGUGAAGGAACUAGGCAAAAUGACACCGUAACUUCGGGAGAAGGUGUGCUCUUGCUGGUGAUUUUACUUGCUAAAUGAGCUGUUAAGAGUUGAAGAUACCAGGUGGCUCCGACUGUUUAUUAAAAACACAGCACUCUGCAAACACGUAAGUGGACGUAUAGGGUGUGACGCCUGCCCGGUGCUUGAAGGUUAAUUGAUGAGGUUAGGACUCGUCCGAAGCUUUUGAUUGAAGCCCAAGUAAACGGCGGCCGUAACUAUAACGGUCCUAAGGUAGCGAAAUUCCUUGUCGGGUAAGUUCCGACCUGCACGAAUGGCGUAACGAGGGCCACACUGUCUCCACCCGAGACUCAGUGAAAUUGAAAUUGCUGUUAAGAUGCAGUAUACCCGCGGCCAGACGGAAAGACCCCGUGCACCUUUACUACAGCUUUGCAUUGAACUCUGACCCUACCUGUGUAGGAUAGGUGGGAGGCUUUGAAACUUGGACGCUAGUCGAGUGGAGCCAUUCUUGAAAUACCACUCUGGUAUGGUUGGGGUUCUAACCUAGGUCCAUUAUCUGGAUUGGGGACAAUGUAUGGUGGG
rnacentral:rRNA from 1 species